rnacentral:rRNA from 1 species
GAUGAACGCUAGCGGCAGGCCUAAUACAUGCAAGUCGAACGGUGUAGCAAUACACAGUGGCGCACGGGUGCGUAACACGUAUGCAACCUACCUUACAUUGGGGGAUAGCCUUUCGAAAGGGAGAUUAAUACCGCAUAAGACAGUAACUAGGCAUCUAGUAGCUGUUAAAGAUUUAUCGAUGUAAGCUGGGCAUGCGUCCAAUUAGUUAGUUGGCGAGGUAAUGGCUCACCAAGACGAUGAUUGGUAGGGGAACUGAGAGGUCAAUCCCCCACACUGGCACUGAGAUACGGGCCAGACUCCUACGGGAGGCAGCAGUAGGGAAUAUUGGGCAAUGGGCGCAAGCCUGACCCAGCCAUGCCGCGUGCAGGAAGAAGGCGUUAUGCGUUGUAAACUGCUUUUAUACAGGAAGAAACGACCCUUGCGAGGGGCAUUGACGGUACUGUAUGAAUAAGCACCGGCUAACUCCGUGCCAGCCGCCGCAGUAACAC